AUCAGCCUUUCGAGUGCGAUUCUGUGGAGUGUGAGGAGCUAAACACCUUCAUGCCUGCAUAUUCGUGCUCUUGGGUGUACUUGCUCGUGUGGUUGGUUAACAUCAAUUUCGGACGCCAUAAAAUGGCUGGAGGAAUGUAGCUUCGAUCUCGUAUUGAAGUGUUAUAGCCUUCGGUAGAUGUGGUGAUCGAGAUUGAGGAUUGCAACGGAUACCCUUCGGGGCUACCUGUCUGGUCUCUGAUCGUUGCUCUGGUGCCGAAAGCUUGCUUACGGUUAUCAAAGUCGAUGGUCAAUAGGUUAGAAUGGGUUAAAUUCGUUAAGGAUGUUGACGUAAUGGCUUU
rnacentral:rRNA from 1 species